UGGGGAAUUUUGGACAAUGGGCGAAAGCCUGAUCCAGCAAUGCCGCGUGUGUGAAGAAGGCCUUCGGGUUGUAAAGCACUUUUGUCCGGAAAGAAAUCCUUGGCUCUAAUACAGUCGGGGGAUGACGGUACCGGAAGAAUAAGCACCGGCUAACUACGUGCCAGCAGCCGCGGUAAUACGUAGGGUGCAAGCGUUAAUCGGAAUUACUGGGCGUAAAGCGUGCGCAGGCGGUUUGCUAAGACCGAUGUGAAAUCCCCGGGCUCAACCUGGGAACUGCAUUGGUGACUGGGCAGGCUAGAGUAUGGCAGAGGGGGGUAGAAUUCCACGUGUAGCAGUGAAAUGCGUAGAGAUGUGGAGGAAUACCGAUGGCGAAGGCAGCCCCCUGGGCCAAUACUGACGCUCAUGCACGAAAGCGUGGGGAGCAAACAGGAUUAGAUACCCUGGUAGUCCACGCCCUAAACGAUGUCAACUAGUUGUUGGGGAUUCAUUUCCUUAGUAACGUAGCUAACGCGUGAAGUUGACUGCCUGGGGAGUACGGUCGC
rnacentral:rRNA from 1 species